GCUUGCUCCAGGGGAUCAGUGGCGAACGGGUGAGUAACACGUGAGUAACCUGCCCCAGACUCUGGAAUAAGCGCUGGAAACGGCGUCUAAUACCGGAUACGAGACAGAGAGGCAUCUCUACUGUCUGGAAAGUUUUUCGGUCUGGGAUGGACUCGCGGCCUAUCAGCUUGUUGGUGAGGUAACGGCUCACCAAGGCGACGACGGGUAGCCGGCCUGAGAGGGCGACCGGCCACACUGGGACUGAGACACGGCCCAGACUCCUACGGGAGGCAGCAGUGGGGAAUAUUGCACAAUGGGCGAAAGCCUGAUGCAGCGACGCCGCGUGAGGGAUGACGGCCUUCGGGUUGUAAACCUCUUUCAGCAGGGAAGAAGCGAAAGUGACGGUACCUGCAGAAGAAGCACCGGCUAACUACGUGCCAGCAGCCGCGGUAAUACGUAGGGUGCGAGCGUUGUCCGGAAUUAUUGGGCGUAAAGAGCUUGUAGGCGGUUUGUCGCGUCUGCUGUGAAAAUCCGGGGCUCAACCCCGGACUUGCAGUGGGUACGGGCAGACUAGAGUAUGGUAGGGGAGACUGGAAUUCCUGGUGUAGCGGUGAAAUGCGCAGAUAUCAGGAGGAACACCGAUGGCGAAGGCAGGUCUCUGGGCCAUUACUGACGCUGAGAAGCGAAAGCAUGGGGAGCGAACAGGAUUAGAUACCCUGGUAGUCCAUGCCGUAAACGUUGGGCGCUAGGUGUGGGACUCAUUCCACGAGUUCCGUGCCGCAGCUAACGCAUUAAGCGCCCCGCCUGGGGAGUACGGCCGCAAGGCUAAAACUCAAAGGAAUUGACGGGGGCCCGCACAAGCGGCGGAGCAUGCGGAUUAAUUCGAUGCAACGCGAAGAACCUUACCAAGGCUUGACAUAUACCGGAAACACCUAGAGAUAGGUGCCCCUUUUGGUCGGUAUACAGGUGGUGCAUGGUUGUCGUCAGCUCGUGUCCUGAGAUGUUGGGUUAAGUCCCGCAACGAGCGCAACCCUCGUUCUAUGUUGCCAGCACGUAAUGGUGGGGA
rnacentral:rRNA from 1 species